rnacentral:rRNA from 1 species
AACGCUAGCUACAGGCUUAACACAUGCAAGUCGAGGGGUAACGAGAGGGAAGCUUGCUUUCCUUGUCGACGACCGGCGAAUGGGUGAGUAACGCGUAUCCAACCUGCCCUUCAGUAAGGGAUAGCCUUUCGAAAGAAAGAAUAAUACCUUAUAAGAUCGUUUGAUGACAUCAGAUGACGAUUAAAGAUUUAUCGCUGAAGGAUGGGGAUGCGUCUGAUUAGCUUGUUGGCGGGGUAACGGCCCACCAAGGCGACGAUCAGUAGGGGUUCUGAGAGGAAGGUCCCCCACAUUGGAACUGAGACACGGUCCAAACUCCUACGGGAGGCAGCAGUGAGGAAUAUUGGUCAAUGGACGAGAGUCUGAACCAGCCAAGUAGCGUGAAGGAUGACUGCCCUAUGGGUUGUAAACUUCUUUUAUAAGGGAAUAAAGUGAGGGACGUGUCCCUUUUUGUAUGUACCUUAUGAAUAAGGAUCGGCUAACUCCGUGCCAGCAGCCGCGGUAAUACGGAGGAUCCAAGCGUUAUCCGGAUUUAUUGGGUUUAAAGGGAGCGUAGGUUGACAUAUAAGUCAGCUGUGAAAGUUUACGGCUCAACCGUGAAAUUGCAGUUGAUACUGUAUGUCUUGAGUGUACAAGAGGUGGGCGGAAUUCGUGGUGUAGCGGUGAAAUGCUUAGAUAUCACGAAGAACUCCGAUUG